rnacentral:rRNA from 1 species
UACGUAGGUGGCAAGCGUUGUCCGGAUUUAUUGGGUUUAAAGGGUGCGUAGGCGGCCCUGUAAGUCAGUGCUGAAAUACCCCGGCUUAACCGGGGGGGUGGCAUUGAUACUGCAGGGCUUGAGUACAGAUGAGGUAGGCGGAAUUGACGGUGUAGCGGUGAAAUGCGCAGAUAUCAGGAGGAACACCGGUGGCGAAGGCGGGUCUCUGGGCAACAACUGACGCUGAGGAGCGAAAGCGUGGGGAGCGAACAGG